GGUUGUUCUGUCCUGGACUUCAUCAUGUUGUCUCUGCGUGUGGCUGAACUGGUCCUCAUCACUCUGCUCACUGUUCUUCUCUUCAGAGCUCGAGGGAACCAGAGACCUCCUGAGGAUAUCACUGUGCGUUAUGAUGGAGAUGACGACACAGUGAACUAUGAGAACGCUGGAGAGCCUUCUGCAUCAGUCAGACUCCACUGAUCAACAUCUUCCACGCCUUCAAUUUACCAGACCAAUGAGUCCACUGCUCUUAAACUUUGUUACAGCUUUUUACUGCACAUACAAACACAAACCCUGAUUUCAGUUUAAGGUGUUUAGUAAAGACUUGAUUAAUGUAAAUUGAACAAAUCAACUGCUUUUUUUAGCCAAAUAUUAAAGUUCAGUUUUUAUAUAAAUAAUAUAAUGAUAUUUGUUUGAGUUGACAGCACUUUGUUUUUUGAAUAGAUAAUUUUUUGCGUUGUUUGGUGGACCGUGUUUCCCUUCUGUUGUCAUAUCUUCUGGGCGGAGUCAUGAGUGUAUAAUGUUACCAAUAAAUGA